UUUCAUACUGACAGCUAAAACUGUUAAUUCGUUACUAAUUAAACUUAUGUUCGUUCUGUCAAGCAAUCAGUUUUUUCACCAUAACUAUGAACCGAACCGUCCUGUACCGUACCGUGACUUCAAAACCGAGGUACGUACCGAACCGUGACUGUUGUGUACCGUUACACCCCUAAUAAUUACGCUGUGCAUUUACAAAUAAAUAUCAGUAUAUGCAUCAUAAAGGUCCUGAUACAAUACAGACAGUUGACAAUUCAAAAGAGGUAGCCAUUUAAUCAAUUUACCCCUGGAGAUACCAUCACAGAUGGCGAAGUUGAGCUAACAAACUAGGAGGCAAUCAGUCGUCUUCCAAGAUAAAUAUAUAUAUAAUUACGCUGUGCAUUUAUAAAUAAAUAUCAGUAUAUGCAUGUGGGGGGACGUGCGACGUCUGGCCUGCAGGGGGAGUAUGGGCAGGUUGGGAGCGCACCGGAUUGGCUGGGGGGAUUGGACCUGAGUGCGAGCAGGUGUGAGCACUCAGGCCAAUCAGGGAGUGUUUGUACUUAUGUGCCUGCUUUGUGUUGUAGUGGGGGGAAAGGAAUCCGGGAGAAAAUGGACCAGAGAGAUCCAGAACGGACCCAAGAGAUCCUCUGAGAGAACCUUGUUUAUAGUUUAAGUGAUUUUGUUCGGCUUUAAAAGACAUUAAAACAAUCUCCCGCUGAGGGUUGACAACUCUGCCUGCUCGCACUCAUUUGGAACCUGCUACAAUGCAUCAUAAAGGGCCUCUGAUACAAUAUAGAUAGUUGACAAUUCAAAAGAGGUAGCUAUUUAAUCAAUUUACCUCAGAAGUUACUCGACGGCCAGCAAUGGAAAUGAAGGAUCUCCUACGCAGUAAAAUGGUUGUUUGGAACUAUUCGAGGCUCCAUACCCCGGAAGUAGGCGCUACAACGGAGUCCAAUGGAAGUGUCGCCACUCUGUUAUAUCUACCACUCUGCUCUGUACCUGCCCUCUGUGAGGGGGGCGGGGUCAAGAGGCCAGCUGCCUGAAUCUGACCGGACCGUGACCCCGAGACGAAGAAAAAGACUAAUGACACUGCAUCGGAAUUAUGUCCAAAAGACUGAAGCCAUCCGGCGCCCAAGGAAGGAAAAGAAGAGGAGGAAAAGCAUGAAAAAGAUAGAGGCAACGCCGUGCGGCACAGCAGCCCCUCCAUCACCGACAGACGGUGAAACUCAGUCCAUAACUUCCUCAAGCUGGCAGAGGAACCCCCGGGGAGUCUACGAGGCCGCCGCACCCUGUCCUGCUCCAACCAAGUCAACGCAGCACUAAUGUCAGGGUCUUCACGCUGUGCUGACCGCAAUUCAGCUCCACCACCACUGAGUGAAUAGACAGGAACUGGCUCUGUUUGUGCCCCCUCUGCAGGCGGAGAGUGGUCAGACACCUCCACUGAGGCCACGGUGUAAAGCCCGGCUGAAGGAGCAUCUGGCUCGACAAAGUCUGGAGACACGGGUCGGCCGGACAGAGCGUCCGCAUUUUUGUGGCGGGCGCCAUCCUUGUGGACCAUGACCCAGUCAAACGGGUCCAACUCCAGCACCUACCUACACCUCCGUCCAGUAGGGUCAUUAUCAAUGGCCAUGCGCCUAAGGCCCAGCAGAGAGCGAUGGUCAGUGAUGAUGCAGAACGUGGAUAGUCCCACAUAGUGUUUGAACUCACGCACUGCCCACACCACAGCCCAUAGUUCCCUGUCGAAGGUGGACCAUCUCUUCUGUGCGUGUGUGUGAGGGCCUGGCUCGCGUAGGCAAUCACCUUCUCACAUUUCACAACCCUCCUCAUCCUGCGCUAGCACUGCCCCAACAGAGUCUUUAGAGGCGUUACGUUAGUAGUUACGCUACCUAACUUUGCACUUCCUUUCAAGAUGUACACCGCGCACUUCCGCUGCAGACAGAAACAUCCACCCACACGCCGGAAAUCGGAUAAUAAAAAUUAAAAAUCGGAAAAUAAAAUAAAAUUCGGGCGUUACGUAAUGUGUUUACAUAAAUGAACGGGCGUUAAGUAGUGUGUUUACAUAAAUGAACGAAAUAAAUUAAGUUAUAAAAUCGGAUAAACGCUUCCGGUUUUGGACAGAAGACCUGACACUCGCUGUUGACUUUAAGCUGGAGCUUAUGGCUCUUCUUUCUGUAAAUACACACACCUUAUUCAGAAUUCCCUCUGUUAUACUGCAAUCAUCUCAAUUUAAUAUUUGAUAGGACACAAACUGAUACUCGUAUUGUAAAGCUGAAGGGCAUCAGAGAUUGAGGCUAAUAAUUAUUUUAAAUACUAUGUAUGAGUGGACAGGAAUAGUCAGAACAAUUCCCCUUUAGCUUCACCUUUUGUGACAUAUUCAUAUUAGGUCUAGCUAUGUUACAUUCUGUUGUCUUAAUAUCAUAAGGUUCGACUGCAUUCCAACACAUCAUGUUAUUAGCACUUUUGCAUUCCUAAAUUCUUACUCUGAACCAUCAUUCAUUUAAUAUCUGGCUCUAAUUGUCUAUAAUAUUGUCUUACCUUGUGCUGCUGGACCACCCUAUUUGCCCAUAUUUAAAUACGACAAACUCAAGUCUGUGUUUUAACUUAGCUCUGUGUGUUAC
ensembl:lncRNA